UACGAAGGGGGCUAGCGUUGCUCGGAAUUACUGGGCGUAAAGCGCACGUAGGCGGUCUUUUAAGUCGGGGGUGAAAUCCUGGAGCUCAACUCCAGAACUGCCUUCGAUACUGAAAGACUUGAGUCCGGGAGAGGUGAGUGGAACUGCGAGUGUAGAGGUGAAAUUCGUAGAUAUUCGCAAGAACACCAGUGGCGAAGGCGGCUCACUGGCCCGGUACUGACGCUGAGGUGCGAAAGCGUGGGGAGCGAACAGG
rnacentral:rRNA from 1 species